AUUCCGAAUGUCUCAAAAAAAAUCUCGCGAGAGCGAAUAUAGUAAGAGUUAGCGGGGCAUGUAUAUAUUGACAUAGAGAGAGUGUCAUUCGGAGCGAAGUGACGACACCAUCUUUUUUCUUUGGAUUAGUGCUACUUCACUCUUACAUAUAGUAAAGCUGCGACAGUAUGAUAAACGUCAUUUAAGUUAGGAGAAGUACGAAGUUAGCUGAUGUCUUUCCUGUUAUUUUUAUUUAGUCACUGACGUCACUGUUUACAUUGACAUUUAUUUGUAAAUGUUUUUAGACGAAUAUUCUGUUUGGUUUUGUUUUUUAUUGUUAAUUGUGCAGCGAAAUUGUGAUAGUAAAUUAAAUAUAAAGUUGUUUAUAGCCUACAGAACUGAAUUAUCCCAUAGUAAUUAUCAGUUUGUGUCAAUUUGUUUGUGUGUAAACAAGAAAAAACACUUUUCCUUGUGUUUGACCGACUUGUAGCAAGGGCUUUCUUGAGAAGCCUGUAAAUUGCGGGAAUAGGACAGACAGGGAUAAAAUCCUCACUUUUUACUGUUCCCAAGGCUAUACAUUUCCCCCAUGCAAUACAUUUAAAUGAAUUUUAUCCAAACAAAGGCAGGAACAUUGGAUAAAAGCAAUAAAGAGAACAGACCACAAAUUAAAAUAUGACAGUAUGCAGUAAACAUUUAAUAAGUGGAAUAAACACCAGCUAUUUUAAAUGUAGGAAAAGGAGAAACUGCUGGAACCUAAUUUUACACAAAUGUUUUUGACUAUUGAAGAUUUGGAUAAACAACAGAAGUUACUUUGGGCUAUAGCUAUGUGCAGAUUUAUUUCCUUGUGGAUUACUAUGUUUAUUCUUUUUAACUAUACUUCCUAUAUUGUUUGUGAGAUUAAUAUUAUUAUUUAAUUGAUUAUAUUAAUAUUUUGUAAUAAUAAUCAAUGCUUUGGUUUAACAAAAUAGACAACUUAGAAUAGAACAA
rnacentral:lncRNA from 1 species